ensembl:lncRNA
UGCCACACUGUAAACCCGAACGUCCAAAGUAAUUAAAUAGAUUAAGUAGUGUAUACUCAAAUUUUUGAAAAAGUUCUACUAACUUAAUUAUGUCAUGUUGGUGUAACAUGUUCUUCUUUUUGAGUAAUUUUAACUAAUACUUUUUGAUUUAAUGGAACUAUUUAACAAUAACUUAAAAAUUUAACUUAAGUACAACUUAAUAGAAUUAAGAAAUGUCAUACUAAGAAUGAUGAAGUCCUGUUAUCUGUCUAUUUUUUCAAAUACGGAUGAUUUAAAAAUAAACCUAAUGUAUAUAGCACAUGCUAAAAUACAAUCAAAUCUCACAAAGUGCCAAAUAAGUAACAUCGAUCACUAAAAAAUACAUUUCAAUCAUAGCUUAUUAAAACAGUAUUAAUUUGAUUGCGGCAAAUGGUCUGAAAUGCAUUAGACAUUAAUGGAAGACAAAAUGUAUUCAUUUUUAUUGUCAUCAGUUUAAUGUAGCCUACAUAUUCAUUUUGCUUGCAGGGAUCAUUUUAAAGCUCAAACUGACUUCCUACACUAGUCCAUGUUCUCUCUAGGGAAGCUCGUUUUAAAUUCUGAGUAGUGAGCUCGCUGUAAAAUGUGCUUUUACUUGUUUGUUAUUUUAGGAUAUUAUUCUGUCAGUAUAACAAAGUAUUCAAGUUGUCAUGAUAACACAACAUUACUAGUUAGUAACAUAUCUACGACAAAUAAAACGCUAAUUUGAAAAUUAAUUCAAUUGAAUUAACACGCUAGUAGUAUAUUUUAAGUCAACUUGAUUAAGGAAGUAGUCGCGGCCGUUAUCAAAGUGCAUUAUGGGGUUGGCGGGCGAAGUUGACUUCCUUUCCGUCCUUGAGCCUUUUCGGACCAGGCUUCGGUAGCAUCAUCGGCUCAGACUGUUUUCAAGGUGAGUGAAAUCAUAGGUGUUUAUAUAUAUGUAUAUAUAUAAGUUGAUAUAUGUAAUGUGUGAAGUUAAAUUAUGUUACAAUCAGCCAGUUGCCAAUCCUCAAACGUAAAACAAUUUAAUUUAAAUAAUUUUCCAGACUUUGUCGUACGAGUGACAUUACUAACGUUAGUUACUUCUGCUCCAUUCACUGGGACUUUAGUCUUCUCUGCCUGUGUGGUUCUACUUCAGCGGUUGCUGGUUUGAACUCGCUAACGUGUGCGCUAACGUACGUGCUAACGCACUUUAGCUAACGAACAUACUACGCUAACUAACGUUACUUGAUUGUGCAUCUCGGACCAGCCGAGGAGCACGCGGGAUAGUAUUCCACUAGCUAGCUAGCUUGUUCAACUGAGAAAAGGGCGGCUAACGAACCUACGCUAGCUAACAUAAGUUCACGGUGCGUGCUUGAAACCGCGAUUGUCUUUUCAGUCAAACAAUCUAGUUCGCUAGUUAAAAAAAACGGCCUCCCGUGCUUCUCAGCUGGUCCAGGAGCAGCGCCACGUGUUUCUGCAUCGAGCUUGUCGUGACUCGCAGUUCUGUGGCAUUUCUAUUAAUUUUUUGCAAGUCAUUCUGUUCAUUCAUUUUUGUGUAAAGCUGGAACUUUCCACCUAUAAACGUUGUAUAAAACUAAUUGAAAACAUGUCAUUUUAAGGCAGUGUUAGCUGUAGUCAUUGAUCAUGUUUUGGUAAGCUACUAGUAACUAACUUGUUGUUAUAUUCCGUUUUUAAAGUUUUAGAUGGUGGUCUGAACUUUGUCAUUUCUUUUCUUUGCCUUUUAGGUUGCUGGUUCCAAAAUGAUCUGGAAGUACUAUAGUGAUGUCCUGCCCACCAGUGAACGAGCUCAUGAACCUCUGGCCUGCUCUCAAAAUAGACAAUGAGUUGUAUGCAGAGUUCCAGCGGAUUACGAAUCAGAACCUCUCCAACACAUUCUAUGCUGAGCUUGACCGCCAUCUUCCUCGACUGAUGACCUUAUUCAGACAGAAGGCAUCAAAAACUGGGAAGACAGCAGAUGCUGUAGUUGAAAUUUAAAAAAUCCACGAUGAACAGGUAA